CCAUUCUGAAACGAAGGACAAGACAGAGAGAAAAACCCCGAGGGCGUCAAGGCGGUGACGACAGCUCAGGUGGUCUGAGGGGUUUGUUUUGUUGCUGUGUGUUUUUGUGGGGAAGAAUUACAUGCUAAGAGUUUUGUUUAAUCUUUCAUUGCUUCAGUCUUGCUCGAGUUUUAAAUCUCAUCCUGUUUCCCUCCUUGGGUUGGAGAGGAGGAGUUGCUGAAUCUCUUCACAAAUCUAAAAUGUGAUUCAAACGAUCCCUUACCACCCAAAAACACCCAGAGGAGGACGGAUUGUCUCGUAGCCACAGGUGACCAUUAAAUCUAACUUCCUACACCGUAAAUGUGGUGAGACGACAAAGACGAGCCGACGGUCCAGUCGGGGUUGGACGGGAUAACUUGUGCUGGAUUUAGACCGGGACAAAAAUAUCUUACUUUUAAGCAUAUGUGACCCGCCCCAGAUCACACGCUUUCUGAGCAGAUUGAACACUGAAAACUAAUCCGAUGUGGGUCACCGGAUUCCUAAAAACUCAUUUACUUUUUCCUCAAAAUUACUGAUUGCAAAGAAAACAACAUCCUCUCAAAUUAAGGGACACACGUGAAGUCUGAUCAAACCUCAGAAAUCACAGACUAAUAAUGAUUUAAAAAAUACUUCCCAAACAUGCUGCUGAGCCUCUCAUACCUUUUUUUUUUUUUCUUUCUGUCACAGCUGUUUAUUUGCUCUUUAUUUCCAUGAUUUUUUUUGGCCAUGAAAGAGCUAUUCACCUAAUCCCCCAGCAAUCCUUUCAUCCUCUGUCAUUUCAAGCUUUUGUAAAAUCAUACCUCUUUUCAAAGCUCAUCCUGUCCAUCUGCAUAAAAAGUGGAUUAAAUAAAAAGAUGCCCACCUUU